rnacentral:rRNA from 1 species
UACGUAGGGACCAAGCGUUGUUCGGAUUUACUGGGCGUAAAGGGCGCGUAGGCGGCGUGGUAAGUCAAUUGUGAAAUCUCCGAGCUUAACUCGGAACGGUCAAUUGAUACUGCUGUGCUAGAGUGCAGAAAGGGCAAUCGGAAUUCUUGGUGUAGCGGUGAAAUGCGUAGAUAUCAAGAGGAACACCGGUGGCGAAGGCGGCAUCCUGGACCAAUUCUGACGCUGAGGAGCGAAAGCCAGGGGAGCAAACGGG